rnacentral:rRNA from 1 species
AUUGAACGCUGGCGGCAUGCUUUACACAUGCAAGUCGAACGGUAACAGGCCGCAAGGUGCUGACGAGUGGCGAACGGGUGAGUAAUGCAUCGGAACGUGCCCAGUCGUGGGGGAUAACUACUCGAAAGAGUAGCUAAUACCGCAUACGAUCUAUGGAUGAAAGCGGGGGACCGUAAGGCCUCGCGCGAUUGGAGCGGCCGAUGUCAGAUUAGGUAGUUGGUGGGGUAAAGGCUCACCAAGCCAACGAUCUGUAGCUGGUCUGAGAGGACAACCAGCCACACUGGGACUGAGACACGGCCCAGACUCCUACGGGAGGCAGCAGUGGGGAAUUUUGGACAGUGGGCGCAAGCCCGAUCCAGCAAUGCCGCGUGCAGGAAGAAGGCCUUCGGGUUGUAAACUGCUUUUGUACGGAACGAAACGGCUCUGGUUAAGACCCGGGGCUAAUGACGGUACCGUAAGAAUAAGCACCGGCUAACUACGU